GUACAUUGAAUGAAAUAAUAGAAGGCAGAACGAUGCGUGUGGACAAAUACUUGGUAUAAAAGCAUUCAACGAACGAACGAUAGAGCCUCUCGCGAAAUUAACGGACUUUUGUAACCACCGGCCAAAGCAAAAACCAAACCAAACCGAACAACCACCCAAACUAGCAAACAUGUUACACCACCAUCACCAGCAGCAGCUACAGAGACCGCGACGCCGCUGUGAAGGCACUGCUAUGGGUGUUAUCGUUCUCGAUCUUCGUCCUGGUAACGGCAUCGGCCCUUUCUCUCUCGGGAUGCCAAUAUGUGAAGCGUUUGCUCAGAUUGAACAACAACCCAACAUAUACGACGUCGUCCAUGUGAAGCAUUUCGACGAGGAACCAUUAAAACUCGAUAUUGUUAUUAGCUUUCCUGAUCACGGGUUUCACCUUCGAUUCGAUCCGUGGUCACAAAGGUUACGACUGAUUGAGAUUUUUGAUGUGAAACGACUUCAAAUGCGCUACGCGACCUCUCUUAUUGGGGGACCAUCAAAUUUAGCUACUUUUGUUGCUGUCUAUGCACUCUUUGGACCAACAUUUCCUGGGAUUUGUGACAAAGAUAGAGGCGUGUACACUCUGUUUUACCCCGGUUUGUCAUUUGCUUUUCCGAUUCCCAGCCAGUAUACAGAUUGCUGUCAUGAUAGAGAAGCGGAACUACCACUAGAGUUUCCAGAUGGCACAACACCAGUUACAUGCCGAGUCUCUAUAUAUGAUGGUUCCGCAGACAAAAAAGUGGGUGUUGGAUCUUUAAUGCACAAGGCUUCUGCUCCCCCAUUACUUCCUGGUAACCUGUAUAUGGAAGAGGUGCAUGUCAAGCUCGGGGAAGAAUUAUAUUUCUCUAUUGGAGGACAGCAUAUUCCUUUUGGUGCAUCACCACAGGAUGUAUGGACAGAAUUAGGCCAUCCAUGUGGGAUUCACCAAAAGCAGGUUGACCAAAUGGUCAUUCACUCUGCUUCUGACCCUCGCCCAAGGACAACCCUUUGUGGAGAUUACUUCUACAAUUACUUUACUCGUGGUCUGGAUAUCUUAUUUGAUGGACAGACUCAUAGAAUCAAGAAGUUUUUUUUGCACACAAACUAUCCUGGUCAUGCAGAUUUCAAUUCGUACAUAAAGUGCAAUUUUGUCAUCCAAGGUUCUGACUUAGAUAACUCCAAACAGAGUAUUACCCCAAGCACAAAAUGGGACCAGGUGAAGGAGAUCCUUGGGGACUGUGGUCGUGCAGCUAUUCAAACACAGGGUUCUACAGAUAAUCCUUUUGGAUCCACUUUUGUAUAUGGUUAUCAGAACGUUGCCUUUGAGGUGAUGAAGAAUGAUUAUAUUGCAACUGUAACUCUCUUCCAGUCAUGAUGUUUAUCUUCUCUGGUGAUGAAGAAUGAUUAUAUUGCAACUGUAACUCUCUUCCAGUCAUGAUGUUUAUCAUCUCUGGUUGGAUGCUGUGACGUUGCCUGGUGCAACUGGAUACUGUACAGUCUACUGAACAGAAAGCUGCAUAUACUGUUUUUAGUGGAAGCAUCAUCUCGGGGGAAGUUAAAUUUGAAAAUUGUACAUAUGAUCUGUACAGUAUAGUAGAUUAGUAUUGCUACUGGGGGGUUACCUUCUGUUUACUUAAAAAGAACUGCAAGCUCUGCAUUCAAUAAUUCAGGUUGCAUGUAUGAAAGCUGGACAACUUGUUUCCUCAUCUUUACUUUAAUCUUUUUCCCCUCA